GCAGGAAUGGCGGAAUUGGUAUACGCACUUGUCUUAGAAACAAGUUUUUAAGAGUUCGAAUCUCUUUUCCUGUA
rnacentral:tRNA from 1 species